rnacentral:lncRNA from 1 species
ACUUUUCUGCCAUUCCUAGCGGCGACUCGACUCAAGCCCUGGCUGGCUGGUCGUAGUUAUUGCGCAGUUCAGUUGACAGGCGUUGAUACAACGCUACGCGGGGUAUGCGCAGAGCCUUAACCUACACCCACUACAUUUCUCCUCUGUCCUCUCUAUAACUAGCUUUUCUCUUUUGCUUUUCGUUUCCCUCUUCUUUCAAAAUCAUCACCGAAUCAACAAAUAAUCUUUCACUCUGUCACUCACUAACAAAAAAUCAGGAAACGAUCAAUAAUUACCAAGUUAAUAGCAAAUUAACUGAACUGCUUCAAGCAAUAAUGGCUACUUUCGGUGCUGCUGCCGUUGCCACCAAUCAAAACCCUAACAAUUCCAUCGAGGUAUACUUUAUUUAUUUAUUUUCUUUUUUCUUUUUUCUUUUUUCUUUCCGAUAAUCUUUAAAAAUUAUUUACCUUUAAAUUUUCUUGUCGGUUUCUUGUGUAUGAUGAACUUGGCGACUGUUGAAUUAAUGCUUAUGAUGAUGUUGUAAGGAUUAAGUAGAAAGAUAUAUAAAUUAUUUAUUAUAUAUUUUUGUCAGGGUUAAGCUUAAUUGCUUGUGUUAAUGUAAAAAUUAAUUCUACAUUUUCGGAUAAAGAUUUUUUUUUAAUGCUAAAUAUGUAUGCGAAGCUAUGAUCAUUUGUUUGCUUGCUUUCUUGCUGAACGGAUUGUUGAAAGCGAACCAAUUGCUAAGCUUGUGAAUGUGUUGGAGUUUCAGUGUAAAAGAACAGUAGUUAGUAAGUGAAUCACACUGUUAAGUUUAUAUUAGGUUAAUGAAGAUAAGUUUUCUACAAUUGGUCAUGUAAAAGUUUGAUGCACCAAAUUUUCAAAUGAGAUAAAUUGUUUCUGGUCAUAGGUUCCAAAUUUAUACGCUAGAUGUUGAUAUCAUGUAGGUGUAUGUGAAGUGUAGUUCUCUCAUUGAAGCUUCGUUUGAUACUUGAGUAAGCUUGGUUGAUCUUUUAAUAUAAAGAUGCUGUUAGAAAAGUAGUAUUUACGUGAAAUUUUUCAAUGGCAGGUGUCUCAACCUCCCAAUGAUUCUGUUUCAAGCCUUUGUUUCAGUCCCAAGGCCAAUAUCUUGGUUGCAACCUCAUGGGAUAAUCAGGUUUGUCCAAUCGGGUUCUGUUCUUUUUUUAUACCUUUAGUUAUGCCUUUCUGUUUGUUGGUUAACAUCCUUGAUAUUCCCAUUCGUCUUGUUUGAAUGCUUUCACAGGUAAGGUGUUGGGAAAUUUCACACAGUGGAACUGCUGUGGCCAGUGUGCCCAAGGCAUCAAUUUCGCAUGACCAUCCGGUAAUCUAAAGCAAGAUUUGUGGUAGUUAGAAUAACAUACUGUUGAAUUUGUGAUUGCUGAUAAUUUAACCUUUUUCUUAUCUUUGAAAUUUGAAGGUCCUAUGCUCAACAUGAAAGGAUGAUGGAACUACUGUCUUCUCUGGAGGAUGUGACAAGCAGGUCAAGAUGUGGCCUUUGCUCUCUGGUGGUCGGUCAGCCAGUGACUGUUGCUAUGCAUGAUGCGCCAAUUAAGGAGGUUACUUGGAUUCCAGAGAUGAAUCUACUUGCUACAGGAAGCUGGGACAAGACAUUGAAGUAAGAUUUUUUCGCUUCUUUUUAUUUAAAAUUGCAGUCUAUGUCGCAUUUUGGUUGGGGCAGUAAAUUGGUUUUAUAAUUAUAAGUUCAUCUGUUAGAAGCCUUCGUUGUGCAGUUGAGUGUAAUGACCUUGCCAAGUGGGACAAUAUGUGCAUGUGGAUAGUUAAGUGGUCAGUUCACAUGACCUCGAACAGAAGAGUGACCAUGUUGUGUUCAGAUGAACGAAUGGAACUGUUGUGCGUGUUUUGCUCUGCCACAGUAACUUGUACUGACAAUUACUGAUGCUCAAAGUGGAUAUGAGCUGGCAGGGGCUAUGGAUUCUCAAAUUGUCAGCACUCUUUGUCCAUACUUAUAUAAUUUAGGUGUUGUUUAAAGAGAAACAUCCAUGAUGAGUGCUUUAAUAUUGUAGGCUUUUCUCUUUCUUUCUUCUCUAAGUCGUGGGUGUCAUGCUCUUUUCUUUCUCCUUUUGGGUUUACAGUAUAUCCUUUCGUUUUAUUUGGUAUCUGAUGUGGUCAACAGUUUACUGUGUCUCCAUGUGGUGCCUUGUGUUAUCUGUAAGCACUUUGUCCGAUUUUUUGUGUAGUUGAUCAGUCACUUAUACUCUCUUGAUGUUCUUGUAUUUUGAGUUCCUUACCCUCUUAAUGUUGCAAUAUGUAAUUAGGUACUAGGAUACAAGGCAGCCAAAUCCUGUUCACACUCAACAGCUGCCUGAUCGCUGCCAUGCAUUUACGGUGAGAUAUCAACUUAUGGUUGUUGGCACUGCAGAUAGAAAUCUAGUUGUCUUCAACUUGCAGAAUCCUCAGGUAUUGUUUUUUAUUCCAUGAGAGCAUUGAUUUAUGUGUAAGUUAAAUGGGCAAAUUUAGUGCAGGCAGCUGAAGCAUGUGUUUUGUGUGGCAGCAGCUGCUGCGACAUUAGUAGUUGGCUGACUAAUUUAUAAAAAACUAUUUGUGAUUCUAUCAUUAUUGAUGAAUUAAUAAAGUGAAUUAGUUUAUCUUUUAGUGGUUUUGUGCAUUUUAAUGUGUAAAUAGUGUUACUCAAAAACAAAUAUGACUAGUAGAAAACUGGAAAUAUAUAUAUAAAGUGUACUAGAGAUGAUAUAAUUUUACUAUUUUCAAAAAAAAAAAAAAAAAAAAAAAAAAAUAGUAUCUAUGGCAGCUUGUGCUUGUAGCCCAGUGGUAUGAGGCUCAUUCUCUUCAAUAUUAGUGAGAGCAGAUAUUUGAGCUUAUUACUUCUCUAGAGUCCUAUAAAUUUUAGUGAUUUCAAAUUGUAUAUAUCUCUAAAAAAUAAAAAUAAAAAUAAAAAAGAUUUCUCAGAAAAAAGAAAAGAAAAAAAAAAAGAAACUCUAGUACAUAAGUUUGCAUUGUGUUGUUAGACUUGGAAAAGUCUCGACAGUGAUUGGAUAGAUUUUUAUUUGUUUAACAAUUAAAGAUGUUACUUCUGAUAAUAAAACACUCAUUGAUUUAGAAAAAUUAAUCAUUCGAUCAUCGAUCUCAAUGGAUCGCUUUGCAAUCUUCAUUAUUCUUGUUUCCUUGCUGCUGUCUUCUUGAUACUAGCACCACCUUCUCAUUUACAUAUCUUAACUAAAGCUUUAAUUUCUUUUAGUUUCUCCAUCAUUCAGGGGAGGAUUUGAUGAUUUGCUAUUGUGUGAGGAGAAGCCAAGAAGCAGAUGUAGAGGGUUGUUAAUUUUGGGGAUAAUUAUUUUUCAGUGGGGACAAUUUUAUAAAAAGAAUUUAAUAAUGAAUCAAUUUUAUAAAUUGUCUUUUGUGGUGGGCACGAACUGACAUUUUACAACUCAAAAUAUUAGCGAAAGUUCGAAACGAUUUUCUUCUCUCUCAAAUCUUGCUCGCCGCUCUCAAUUGAAAAAACAGAGCCCUCUGCUCUCACUUCUCAGCUCUUUUUUGGUACUCCAUUGAAAUUCAUAAAAUAAUGAUAAUGAGACUAUUAUUGAAUAUUUUUAAAAUAUGAAAAAGCACUGGGAACAAGUGUGAGAAUCUUUUUACUAAUAUCUAGGGGUGGGCAAACGGUUCGGUUUUUGCCGAACCGAACCGAAAAAUUCGGUUCGGUUCGGUUCGGUUCUAUGAGCAAAAACCGAAUGGUUUAAAAAAUACUGAACCAAUUGGUUUUAAUUCGGUUCGGUUCAAAACCGAAUUGAACCGAAAAACCGAUCGGUUCGGUUUAAUUCAAUUACAAAUAUUUAAAAUCAAAUUUCAAUUUCAAUCACAAAAUUCAAAUCCCUAAAGCUAAAUCGCGAUUGCAUACUGCCCUUGCCUCUCUCCCUCGCGCCUCUCCCUCGCGUCUCUUUCUCCUCACGGCGGAGCUCCACAACGGCGGCACCACCCCUUAGCAGUAUCUUCCCCCUCUGCGCGUGCAUGGUGCGGUUCGGCGCAGCCCCUCUCGGUCUCUUCCUCGCGUCUCUUCCUCGUCUCACACCACGGUCAGCGCCUAACACAGCCCCUUAGUAGCAGCACAGCCCCUCCCCUCAAGUACAGCGACGCCGUCGUUAACCCUCAGCUUGGUUGCUGCAGCAUCUGGAAGGUACAUAUGCUCCUUGGUCCAAACCUCCUGGCUCCUGCCAUCAGCCCGCGUCUUUAAUCUUCACUGCUGCAGGUUUUUUUUUUUUUUGUUAAUCCAUGUUGUGGACUUGGUUAAUAGUUUGAAGUUUAUGUUGGUGUAUAUUGGUUGUUGGCAGUGUGGAAAUUGGAAUUGUAUAAUUGUAUAUUUGUCGAAUUAUAACAUAGUGUGGAAUUGCUGGCACGGCAGUGUGGAAUUGUAUAAGUUAUGAGAAAACGAUUGUGAAAUGCUUCUAAUUUCAUUGACUAUGAUUAAUUUGGGAAAAAAGCUUUACAAUGAUUCCGUGUCUGUUUCAAUUUCUUUUAGAUUUUCUCUUCUCACAGUUUAAGCGUUGCUCAUGCCACUGGAAUUGGUUACUUCAAUUCCAUUACUAGGCCGAAUAAUUAAAUGAAAUAGAGCUUGUGCCUUUCUUGUGGAGCCUUACAUAUUAAAUUUGAUUCAAUAAUAAAUAUUAAGAAUAUUCAAUUGAAUAUAACUUGCGGAAGGUAUAUUUUGUAAAACUUUAAUUUAAAUUUCUGUAAUGGCUUGGGAAAGUAGAUUGAGAUUAUCCAAAUGUGCUUAAUUCAGUUCAAUACUUCAAAUUAUUAAAUAAAUCAUUUUUCUUAUUUCUUUUUAUUUGAUUUAUUUUAGAUGUCUAAUUAUUCAAGAGUUCAAGACAACCUUGAUUGUGUAGCCGAUGAUUUGGAACAUGAAGUUGAAGUUAAUGAUAAUGAAAAUGAUUCGGCAACAAUUGUCACUGGUGGAAACAAGCGAAAAAAGUCAUCCUCAUCCAAACCACCACUACCAAGGAAAAAAAUGGCUCCAAGAUCACCAGUGUGGCAACAUUUCACUAGAGUUCCAAAUGAUCAUACAAAGUGUAAAUGCAACUACUGUGGUCAAGAAUUUGAAUGUGGGACGGUCGGGUACGGGACUAGCACUUUGAGAACUCAUAAUCGUGAAAGAUGUCAAAAGUUCAAGGACUUGCAAAAAAACCAAACAAUAUUAACUCAAGAUGUUGGUAGUGAUGAAGUUGUAGCAAGGGGAUUUAGUCAAGAAGCUUGUAGACGGGCAACCGUGAAAAUGAUUGUUCUUGAUGAAUUGCCUUUUUCUGUUGUGGAGAAUGCAGGUUUUAGGCAUUUCUGUAGUGUUGCAGCUCCGAGAUAUCUUCUCCCAUCACGAAGAACCAUUAGUAGGGAUACUCUUGAGAUGUAUUUGGAGGAAAAGGUUAAGUUGAAGAGUUUAUUAGCGGGGAAUAAGCAGAGAGUAUCUUUGACCACGGAUAUUUGGACUUCCAUUACAACAGCUAGCUACAUGGUCAUCACCGCUCACUUUAUUGAUAGAGAUUGGAACUUACAUAGGAAGAUUAUCAGUUUUAACACUAUUAAUGAUCAUUCAUCGGAGACCAUUGGUAAGCAACUUAAAAAAUGUUUAAUUGAUUGGGGUAUCGAGCGAGUGUUUACUGUAAGUGUUGACAAUGCAAGUCCAAAUGAGGGUGCUCUUAGGUACUUGAUUGAUAGAGUAAAGACUUGGAGGGAUGAUGGCUUAGUGUUGAAUGGAGAUUAUUUGCAUGUUCGUUGCUGUGCACACAUAUUGAAUUUGAUCGUUACUGAAGGGUUGAAGGAAUUAGAGCAGAGUAUAGUUAGUGUUCGGAAUGCGGUGAAGUAUGUGAGAUCUUCCACUGCUAGGAUGCAAGCAUUUCAAAUUCGUGUGCAACAAGAGAAGAUUAAAUGUCGAGGAAGUGUGAUUUUGGAUUGUCCCACUAGGUGGAAUUCAACAUAUUCCAUGUUGAAUACGGCAUUAAAAUUUAAGCCGGCAUUUGAUCGAAUGGCACUUGAAGAUAAGCUUUAUGAUGCUUAUUUCAAUGAAAAAGAGGGUGGAAAGAAGAAAAGGGAGGGACCGCCAUUGUACAGUGAUUGGGAAAAUACUCGACGCAUAGUUAAGUUUUUAAAGACGUUUCAUGAUGCGACUUUGCAAUUUUCUUCAUCUUUGAAGGUAACAUUAAAUCUUUAUUAAAUUUUUUUAAUUUUUGAUAUAUAAUAAUCCGAUGAAGUUUAUUUUAGCUUUAUUAACAUUGUUUUUAUUUAUAUAAUAGAAUAUAAAAGAUAAUUAAAAAAAUUCUAUAAGCUAUAUUAUUUUUUUUAUGAGCUAUAUUUUUUUAAUUUUUGAUAUAUAAUAAUAUGAUGAAGUUUAUUUUAGCUUUAUUAACAUUAUUUUUUUUUUAGGUGACAUCAAAUAUUUGUUACAAUUUGAUAUGUCAAAUUGAACAAUCUUUGGGAUCAUUGUCCACUAGUAACGAUAGUCUUUUGAGUUUCAUGGCAAUUAAAAUGAAGGAAAAAUUUAAUAAGUAUUGGGAUGGUUGUUUCAAGAUAAAUAAGUUGUUGAUUGUUGCUUCCGUACUUGAUCCAAGAGGAAAAAUGAAAUUCGCAACACAUUGCUUUGAGAAAUUAUAUGGCAAGGAUAGUGCCAAAUGUGUUGAGAUGAAGGAAAUGAUCAAGAAUUUAUUGAUUAAGCUUUAUGAGUCUUAUAAUGCACAAUACAAACCGAGUGGAAGUGGGAGUGCAAGUGGAAGUGCAAGCGGAAGCACAAGCGAGAGCCAAAAUUUAACUAGUGGAAGUGGAAGUGGUUCGCAUUUUUGGGAUUUGGAUGAUGAUGAUGAUGUUAUGAUUGAGGAUCCUUUCUCCGAAUUUAGUAAAGUGGUUGCGGUUAGUGAAGGUAGCCCGGAGUUAUCAAAUGAGUUGGAUCUUUACUUGAUGGAGAAGACUGAAAAAAUUGCAAAAAGUAAUUUGGGCACUAAAUUUGAUAUUUUAUUGUGGUGGAGGGUGAAUAGUGCCAAUUACCCAAUCUUGUCAAGUAUAGCAAGGGAUGUUCUUGCUAUUCCGGUGUCUACUGUUGCCUCUGAGUCUGCCUUUAGUACUGGAGGUCGUAUAUUAGAUCAGUAUAGAAGCUCUUUGACUCCAGACAUGGUGGAAGCAUUGGUAUUGUUACAGAAUUGGUUGCGGACUUCUCUUUUUGUGGAUACAACGACGGACCUAAAUAAAUUAGUUGAAGACAAUAAGUUUAUGGAUCAACUUGCGGAAGGUAUAUUUUGUAAAAUUUUAAUUUUAAUUUACUUUUUAAGUAUUAUCAAUAUUAUAUAAUUUGUUUAAUUUUAAUCUAAGUUUAUUUUUUAAGUAUUACUAACCUUGUUCAAUUUAUCCAAUUUUUGUAUGUAGAACUUCGCAAAUCAACAACAGUCGACCAACUUUGUAGGUCAACAUGAAAAUUGCGGUUGAACAUAAACCAUUUUAGGUAAUUAAAUUGAUAUAUAUUUAUUAAUUAAUUAUUAAAUCGCUUUAUUUUAUUUAGUUUAAUUAUUGAGUGCUUUGGCUUAUUUUGAAAGUUUGAAUUUUGAUGUAGGUGAUGUGGGUGGCGGAUGAAAUUGUUGCUUGUGUAUUGAAGUUGAAGGCUUCUCUUAUUUUGUUUUGUUUAGAGUAUGGGAUUUUCAUGUAGAUGAUGUGGGUGGUGGAUGAAAUUGUUGCUUCUCUUAUUUUGUUAUUUACUUGAAGGCUUUGUAUUAGGACUUUUGUUAUUUUGUUUUUUACUUGAAGGCUUUGUAUUUGAAGUUGUUGAUUGUGUAUUGUAGACUUAUUGUGUUUUAUUUUUCUUGUUGUGAACUUAUAUUCUGUAAAAUGUAGGGGAAAAUUGUAAAAUGCAGUAAAAUUAGGCGAAAAUUGUAAAAUGUAGUAAGAUUUGGUUAAAACUGUAAAAUCUAUAAAUAUGUGCGAACCGAACCAAACCAAACCAAACCGAACCGAAUUUUAGAACCGAACCGAACUGAACCGAAAUAUUUCGGUUCGGUUCUAAAAUUCGGUUCGGUUUGGUUUGAAUUUUUUUGAACCAAUUGGUUCUGGUUCGGUUCGGUUCGGAGCCCGAACCGAACCGAACCGGAAAAUGCCCACCCCUACUAAUAUCAUUGAGUAUUAAACUGUAAAAAAUUAUUUUCACUAAUUCUUUUAUUAUAACAUUGUCCCCAAUGAAUUAAUUUCCCGGAUCAUCUAUGUACAAGAACCCUCUGUUUGAAUUUUUUUUUUUACUAUUUUUUUCCCAUUGUUAAAUUUUCGCAUAUGUAUCUUUCAAGUAUAAAAUCCGUUUUUUUCUCUUUUUUUUCUUAAUCCUGUUUAAUAAGAACUGGAGUUAAUCUCAAAUGUUAAUUGUUUGUUUUGAGAAACAUAGUUCUAUGUGUACGUGACUUUUAAUUUCUGUUAUUUCCUUUUUUCAGAUGUGACUUUGAACAUUAUUAUAAAAUAUUGGUUGUAGAAAUUUUUAUUUUUAACUAAAUGAUAUAUUUUUACACUUGCCCAUUUACUUUUUCUUGAUAAAAUUAUAAUGAUUAUAGACAUUAAGAAAUUAAUUACCACGUGCAUUAAAUAAUGAAUUACUGAAAAAGUUGUUUUAUAAAAAAAAAUUCUACCACAUAUAUUUUCGCUGUUUUUAUAUUGUCAAACAAAUAAAAAACAUAUUUUACUGUUCUUAUUUUUAUAUAUUGUUUAGAAAAUAAAUUACCAAAUACCUUUUCAAUUUGGGAAUAUCACAUCAAAAACCUAUUUUACUUCUUUAAAAUAAAUAUAGAAAACACCAAUCGAAAAAAUGACACCAAAAGCACCAUUAGUGUCUGCAGUCUCAAUUGGAGUUUUUUUUUUUAUGUCGUUAUUCUUAUCGAUCACUGUAGCAGCAUUUAACCAACGCAUGCAUCCAAUCUUUUUUUCUAGCUGAUCCUUCUAAGUCUUGCCUAAAUUAAUUAGUUUGAACUUUUGUAUAGCAUCAGUGCAAAAGCUUAUCCGAUUGAUAGUGAUAAAAUGAUCAUAAAUUUGAUUUUUACUCAUUUAUUACUUUCAUGCGACCUCAUUUUGUAUAUCAAAAUUGGUAUGAGAAUAUAUAUGUUUUUUUAGGUGUAGUCUGAAUCUAAAUUAAAAAUAAAAUAAAAGAAAAUAAUAAGAAGGGGAGAAAGGAGAUUUUGAUAAAAGGGCAAUUGACAAAAUCAGUGUCUAAACGACAAUAUUUUGGUCGUUAGUUACAACCCAAAAAACAGAAAAAAAAAUUAAAAAAUCAUUUUAAUGGUGACCUGAAGUCGGCCUUGGCUUUUUCCUAAAUACAUGAAUUAUACACGUUGCAACAUUUGGAAUAAUCAUUUGAUCGAUCUCAAUGGAUCGCUCUGCAACUCCUAUUAUCUCCUUGUUAUUAUUGUCGAUUGUUCCGGCAGCAGUGGCCAUUCUAGGCUUGAUUUUCUACUGUGUGAGGAGAAAGCCUAGAAGCAGAGGUAAAAGUUUCUCAUUUAAUCGCACGAUUUUGAGAGUUGAAUAUACGUACGUACGUACGUACGUAGACAUAUCUUAAUUAAAGCUUUAAUUUCUUCACCAUCCAGGAGAGGAUUUGAUGAUGUUUGAUUUGGAUUUGAACCUGAAAGCCGAUAAUGUUAUCAUCGAGCUUCCUGCAAACAAUAAGCAGGCAAAAAGAAGCAAAAAGAAGGAAGUUGACCAACUGCCCUUAUUCAGUUUUUCCAGUGUUUCUACUGCAACAAAUAAAUUCUCCGACGCAAAUAAGCUCGGAGAGGGUGGCUUUGGCCCUGUUUAUAAGGUACUACAGAUAUCCUUUUCUUUGGAGCAAUAAUUUCAUUUUUAACAGAACUAUAAAUUCACCAUCUUCAGGGAGUGUUAAAAAAAGGAGAUGAGAUAGCUGUGAAAAGGCUUUCGGGAAGAUCUGGACAAGGAUUGCGAGAGAUGAAAAAUGAAGCUUCGGUGAUAGCCAAGGUUCAGCACAAGAAUCUUGUUAGGCUUUUAGGCUGCUGCAUAGAUAAAGAUGAGAAGAUUCUGAUCUAUGAGUACAUGCCUAACAAAAGCUUGGACUUCUUUCUUUUUGGUUAGUGUUUUGCAAUUUUUUCUUAUUCUCACAUAUUCCUUACUUCAAAUUUUAUUCAUACAUUUGUUUAAACUACUAUUUAAUACGAAAUUUUAUAUCAAAAAUUUAUUUAAACUAGAAUUUAGCUUAUAUUACAUUUCCAAAUUCUAUUCAUUAGUUUAUUUAAAAUAGCAUUUAGCAUUUAAUUUAAGAUUAUAUAUCAAAAUUUCAUUCAAUAAUUUAUUAAAACGUGUACAUAAUAUUAAAUAUCAAAAUUAUUCAAUUAUUAAUUUAUAUUGAAAUUGAAUAUCUCAUAUAAUAUUCAAUAAUUAACAAUAAACUUUAACAAAUAAUCAUACUUUUCAAAUAGUUUUUUUAAUCAUAAUUUUUAAAUAGUUUUUUUUUUAAACUUCCUUAAAUUGGAUUUAAUAGCAUCUGGUCCAAUACUAAACCAAACACAAAACAUUACUAUAAAAUAAUUCAAUCUAAUCCAAUCCACUUCAAUCUUAAUAACUAGUCCAAUUCAAUCCUUUGUUUACCUAACCUAAAAGAAUAUUUAGCAUUUACUAUUUCGUUUAGCUAUUUUUAAGUUUAAUGAUUAACAUCAUCCAAUUAUCAGAUUUAAAAGAAAAAUUAAGUCACUAGAUCAAUUUACGUCAGAUUAUGCGGUCAACAUUUUUUAUUUUCAUACAUAAUGACAUUUAGUCUUUUUGUUGUAAAUUAGAUCCAACCAAGCGAAUGUUAUUAGAUUGGGUAACACGUGUUCAGAUUAUUGAAGGGAUAGCUCAAGGACUUCUUUAUCUUCAUCAAUAUUCUAGGGUACGAAUUAUUCAUCGAGAUUUAAAAGCUAGUAACAUCUUGUUGGAUAAAGACAUGAAUCCCAAAAUAUCAGAUUUUGGAAUGGCAAGAAUUUGUGGAGGAAAUGAGUUACAAGCAAACACUAGUAGGAUCGUUGGGACUUAGUAAGUAAAUGACACAAACCAAAAUUAAAGUGAUUAAGUUAUGCAUAAAUUACUGAUUAUUAUUUAUUAAUUAUUGAAUUACAGUGGUUAUAUGUCCCCGGAAUACGCACUCGAAGGAAUAUUUUCAAUUAAAUCCGAUGUUUUUAGCUUUGGAGUAUUGUUGCUUGAGAUUGUAAGUGGCAAGAAGAACACUGGACUUUAUCGAACCGACUCUCUCAAUCUGCUAGGUUAUGUAAGUAGCAAAAGCGAUUACACAUAUUCUUUUUAUAUUACUUAGGUGAAAAUAUUUAUUAAUUCCCAAGUCAUGCUCAGGUGUGGACAAGCACAAUGUGAAAACGUUUGAAUUUUUGCACCUGACAUAAACUAUUCUCUAUAUCGAGUGUAGGACUAUCUAAUAACACCGUAUGGUUGUUCAGGCAUGGGAUCUGUGGACAAGCAACAGGACAUUGGAGUUGAUUGAUCCAAUAUUAGAAGAUGAAUAUUCCUCCAAGCAUAUGCUUUUAAGAUAUGUGAACAUAGCUCUCCUUUGUGUACAAGAAAGUGCUGAUGAUAGACCCACCAUGAAUGAUGUUGUAUCCAUGCUUACAAAUGAAGCUGCAGCAUUACUUCCUCCCAAACAACCUGCUUUUUCGUUUGUAAGAAAUACAGUCACUUCAACAUCGUCCACCGGCAAGACAGAAGAUUGUUCAGUCAACCAAGUAACGAUUUCAAUUUUAGAAGCGCGCUAACUUUUAUUUUAAUGUGUAUCGAGUCCUUUUUUGGGAAAUGGUUUCAAGGAUUUUUCCAAAAGUUGCAAAGAUUAUGUAAGUUAAUUCAUACACUUUGGGGUUAGGUUGUUAUAAUUACUCCUCUGAUCUAUUAUUUGAACUGAGUUUCCUAUUUUUGACUCGCUAGUGUGAAAUGUUAAAAGUCAAUAUGUAUUGACCAUUUGAAGAAUAAUUAAGUACACCAAAAUCUUGAGUGCUAGCUGUUAGCCUUAUUUUCCCGUUCAUUUUAUAACGUGCAUGCGUCUUUCAAUCAGUCAUUAUAACUAAAUGUAAUAAUGCGAGAACCGAAUUCAAUCAUAAGUUGGCUCUUCUUUGGACCAAUAAAAUCACUAUCAAAUGUUAGCUCUAACCUUACAAGACUUUUCAAAGUCUACAGGUCCCGCAAGCAAAUCAAAGUUGGUUUUGAAGCGAGGACGAAUUGCAUUCAGUCAAUUAUUAGAUUUUUUUUAUUAAAAAAAAAAAGUGGAGGGAUGGUCAAAAAUCAAAUUAAUCUUUUAUUUUCUAUUUUCUCCAAAAUUCAAACUUAAUUAGGCGAUCAUCUAAAUAAGAAUACUUGAAAACUACUGGCUAAACUCCUGAGACUAAUUAUUAGAUAUUAUAUGGAGUAAUGUCCCUGAUUUUUAUUGGUUCAAGGGGUCUGAUACUAUCACGAUUCUGAUAUAUAAAAAGCCAUGCAUGGAACCAUUAUUUUCGUUCAAUGGGAUCAGAAUCAACAAACUACGAACUUUGGGAGGCCAAAAUCAACAAUUUGUAAACAGAGGGAGUGAGAGUAUAAGGACAUAUGUAGAGUCCAAAGAAAUGAACUAAAUUUCAAUUAAUGUCCUUAUCUUGCUAUGAAUUAUAUAAUUAUAAUUACAGAGAGACACUUUUAAAUAAAAUUUGGACACAAUAUUCUGACAAUUAAAUUAAAGCUAAGCAAGAGUUAAUAUUGAAGUUGACAUGCCUUUUUUAAGUUUUAAAAACCAACAAAUUAAUGUAGUAGAUCUCCAUAUAAUAAGAAAUUAUUGAUCAUUUUUCUCUCUCUUGCUUAACAUAUUCCCUCUUUUAUAUAUGCAAAAUUAUUUUGUCCAUCAAAAUUCGUACCAGAACAUAUUUGUUUCUACGUGAAUAUAUAUUAAAAAUAAAAUAAAAUAAUAAGGAGAGAAGGGGAUUUUGGAUAAAAGGAUGAUCACCAAAAUCACUAUCAAAACGAUUAUGUUCUAGUUGUUAGUAAAAAGAAAAAAAAAAAUGACAUGAUUUGAAUGGUGAUUUUUAUCACCACUUUGCACUUUGUUCAAAUAGCAUUACAUGGGUUUUGAUUGUUUAGUGUUUGCUCCUAACUCAUUCCCUUAAAAAAUUAUCCUGAUUUCAAAAUCCAAUAAUUUAGGAUUCAUGUCUUUGUCCAACAACAUGUUAUUAUUCUUUUCUUCUUUCAAAUCCAUGUGAGUAAUCAGCGCACGGUGCUUACAAGUCUUCCCUGCUGACCUGAAGUCCUCUUCGGCUGCUUUCUAAUUAAUUAACUUGGGCUACCUUUACUCUGUUAUAUUACAUAUACAUUGCAACUUGCAAGUUCCAUUCCUUCUCUGAGUUUCAUUUCAACUACUAUUAGACCCAAUCAUGAGAUCAAUUUUACUCUUAUCAUGGCUUUUCUCGAUACCCUUUUUAGCCAAUUAUUUGGGAUGCAUAUGGUUUGGGUGUCUGGCCAAUGUCAAGGCGAUAAAAAAUUGCUCCAUAUUUGACGUUGAAAUUAAUAGUUUAUGUUUUAUAUUGAAUUAUAAGUAAAUUACCUCUUGCAAAAAUAUGAAAUACUGAGGCUAACGAUGUGCCUUGAAGAGCGAUAUCAAGAUUAAUAUGGAAAAACACGUGCGAUCGGAUUCAAAAUUGCAAUGACACAAUCAAGAGCCAUCCAUUUUAUAUGACGAACCCAUUAAUUAUGAGGUAGAGAUUAAACAAAGUUAUAAUCAAUAGGAUUAAUUUUAUCUAUCAAAUCAAACUGACCACUUUUUAAAAAAUUGGAGACGAUUAUCAUUUUGUACAUAUGGGUCCAAUCCACAGAGAGCUUCGCCGAAGCUGAAAGCAGUGGAUAAAGUAGCGGAUACUCAUAAUCUGAUUGAUCUUUGGAUUUUCAGUCCAUGUCCUAUUGUGAUACUUACAUUACAUAUGAAAGAUCAACAAUACAUAUGAGAGAGGAUAGUGGCUAUAAACGCCUAUAUAGCUAGCUUUAAACACCAGUUGAACAGGGACAUCUUUUAUUAAAAAGAUAUAAUGGAAUUAACAAAAUAGAUAUUAGAAGGAUUUUGUUUUUGGAAAUUCUACAUUUUUUGAAAUGUCGAUAACAGAGAGUUUUAAGAGAACCCCAGACUUUUCAAGAGAGUUCUAGCUAGUAUUGGGACUAGCUCAUCCACACAGAAUAAACAUUCACAAGUUUUAUUUGAUGGUCCAUUUUCUUAUAAAUUUUAGAAAGUUUUUAAGUCGAUUAUAGUGCCAUUCAAAGCAACAAAGACUAAUGAAGCUGCACCAAGGUCCAAUAUUAAUCUCAGCACAGUGAGUUCUCAUUCUCAACGCCGUUCCUGCUUUGAUACUAACUAUUACGAAUCUAUUAAUUGGUAUAACUCACCAUUAACAAUCCCACAACUUGUAAUAAAAUAUUGCCCAUAAUUCGUACAUACAAAUUUAGAAUAUUAUUUUCUGUCCAAAUAGAGUUUAGGAUCACAACAAAGUUAAUAAACCAACAAAAAUAAAGUACAAAGACAUGGUUCAUAACCACCAUCUAAUUUGAAAAAUAGAUCAACUGCAGCAGAAGAUUCAGUAAGUUAAUAGAUACCGUUAAGUCAGGUUGUUGUAGUAACUCAUGUGAUCUAAUAAUUUUCACUUGCUUUCUACCAGGGAAAUAUAAGACUCCUACUCUUCAAUUUUUCAAUCUUAACCUAUUCAUGUCUGCCAACAUGUUACGACUCUUCUUUUCUGUCAAAACCGCGUGAAUAAUCAGCGCAUGGUGCUUACAAUUCCAUCAUGCUGACCUGAAGUCCUCCUCGGCUGCUUUCUAAUUAGUAAUUCGUUAACUUGGGCCACCUCUGCUAUAUUAUAUCAGUCUAUAUUACAUAUACAUUGCAACUUGAAAGUUUCAUCCCUUCUAUGAGUUUCAUUUCAACUACUAUUAAACCCAAUCAUGAGAUCAAUUUUACUCUUAUCAUGGCUUUUCUUGACACCCUUUUUAGUCAAUUAUUUUGGGAUGCAUAUGGUUUUGGUGUCUGGCCAGUGUCAGAGCGAUCAAAAAUUGCUGUUAAUCCAGAUGAAGAACAGCUUCAUAUUUGACGUUGAUUCUACUCCACCUGCAAAAAUGAGUCAGUGGAGUGAAAGCACCGAUUGUUGUGAUUGGAACGGAGUAGAUUGCGAUGAGGCUGGUCAUGUUAUUGGUCUCGACUUGAGCGCGGAACCAAUACUCAUCGGCAGUCUUGAGAACGCAUCUGGCCUUUUCAGUCUUCAAUAUCUGCAGAGUCUAAAUUUGGGUUUCACUCUCUUCUACGGAUUCCCUAUGCCAUCCAGGUUGGCCAACCUCACAAAUUUGACUUACCUGAAUCUUUCUCAUUGUGGCUUCACAGGGUAGAUUCCUACUGAGAUUUCAAGCCUGCCAAGGUUGGUUACUCUUGAUUUGUCAAGUCGUGAGCCCAUAAGCGGAUUUUCCUGGAGACUUGAGAUCCCAAAUUUCAACUUUUUUCAGAACUUAACAGAGCUCAGAGAACUGUACCUUGAUAAUGUAGAUUUGUCAGGCCGCAGGACUGAAUGGUGCAAAGCUAUGUCUUUUCUGCCUAAUCUACAAGUUUUAAACUUGUCUAACUGUCUUCUUUCAGAUCCUAUAAAUCAUCACCUGGCAAAUUUACUGUCACUCUCAGUUAUUCGUUUGCGUGACAAUCAUGCUGUGUCAUGUCAAGUGCCAGAGUUUGUGGCCAAUUUGUUAAAUUUGACCACCUUGGAUCUCAGCCAGUGUGAUUUGCACGGGAAGUUUCCAGAAAAGGUAUUGCAGGUACCUACACUUGAGACUCUUGACUUGUCAUAUAACUCAUUGCUUCAGGGUUCUCUACCUCACUUUCCUAAGAAUUCUUCUCUUCGGAACCUGAACCUGAAGAACACGAGCUUCUCGGGCAAACUACCAGAUUCCAUUGGGAACCUUGAAAAUUUGGCAAGUGUAGAUGUUAGCAGUUGCAAUUUCACUAGGCCAAUUCCCACUUCAAUGGCUAAUCUCACCCAAUUAUUUCACUUGGACUUCUCAUCUAACCAUUUCUCAGAUCCCAUCCCAACUCUUCGGCUUUACAUGUCAAGAAAUCUCAACUACCUAAACCUUUCGUCUAAUGAUUUAACUGGGGGGAUCUCAUCAAAUAUUCUUUGAAUUCAGAAACCUUGAGACCCUCGAUCUUUCUUCCAACAAGUUUAGCAGAUUGAGAUUGGCUUCAAGCAAACCGAGGGUCAUUCCUAAUCUGACGAACUUGGACCUUUCAAAUAACCAAAUAUCUGGGGAGGUACCAAAUUGGAUUUGGGAAGUUGGUAGUGGCCAAUUUUACACCCUAAAUCUUUCACACAAUCUUCUAGAGAGCUUGCAAGAACCUUACUCUAUUCCUGGAAUCGGAUUACUUGACCUGCACUCUAACCAACAUGUCACCAAAUACUUCCUACGUGGAUUACUCCAACAAUAAUUUUACUUCAAUCCCAGCCGAAGAUUGUGUGAAACUGCCUUCUUUUCUGCUGCAAACAAUAGUCUCACUGGAAUCAUCCCGGAAUCUGUGUGCAAGGCCAACUAUUUUCAAGUUCUUGACUUAUCAAACAACGACAUGAGUGGCACAAUUCCUACGUGUUUAAUCACCAAUAGUAGCAGGACCCUUGGCGUUUUAAAUUUAGCGAGAAACCACCUCAAUGGCACUCUUUCUGAUACAGUUCCAGGUGGAUUGCAAAUUCUAGAUAUCAAUGGAAAUCAACUAGAAGGAAUGGUUCCAAAAUCUCUUGUCAAUUGCAACAUGUUGCAGGUUUUUAACAUAGGGAAUAACCAGAUCAGUGAUAAAUUUCCAUGCUGGUUAAAGAAUGCCUCUGGUUUACAAGUUCUGGUUUUGCGAUCCAACAAAUUCUCAGGAAAUAUUAGUUGUCCGAGAAAUAAUGUCUCCUGGACCCAGCUUCAAAUAGUCUACUUAGCUUCCAAUAACUUCAGUGGAAGGCUAUCACAAAAAUGGUUACUUACCUUGGAGGAGAUGAUGGAUGCUAAACCCGAAUGCGGAUUUGAGCUCAAACACCUUCGAUAUGCCACCGGAAGCAGCCGAUUCUAUGAGGUUACCUUAUCACUUACAAUCAAAGGUUUGGAGAUCAUGCUUCAGAAGAUCCCAAAUAUAUUCACCUCUAUUGACUUGUCAAGAAACAAUUUCGAAGAGCAAAUACCAGAAGAAAUGGGACGAUUUGUAUCACUCUAUGCUCUGAACCUGUCGCACAAUGCUCUCACAGGCUCAAUCCCAUCAUCAUUUGGGAACUUGAAACAUAUUGAGUCCUUGGACCUCUCAACGAACAACCUCAGUGGGAAAAUUCCUGCACAGCUUGCAAGCCUAAAUUUCCUAUCGGUGCUAAAUCUCUCAUACAAUAACUUAGUGGGAAAGAUUCCGACAAGUACUCAACUCCAAUCAUUUUCACCGACUUCUUAUGAAGGAAACAAAGGAUUGUACGGACCUCCUUUGACGAAUGAAAGCCAAGCACGUCCUCCUGAGUUACCACCUUCACUGCCACCAGCUUCAAGCGGUGUAAUUGAUUGGUUCUUCAUAGCCAUGUCAAUUGGAUUUGCGGUCGGCUUCGGAGCAGUUGUUUCACCUCUAAUGUUUUCCGUGCAGGUAAACAAAUGGUAUAACGAUCUUAUCUACAAAUUUAUAUAUCGGCGAUUCCGUGUGUGAAGUGAUUUAAAUCUCUCAUUUUUGAAUAAUCAUGUAAGCUAGCUUCUGCUUCUCUCUUCUGUCAUAGAUGUUUGAUAUUUCUUUUCUUCUCUGUUUCAUAGAGUUAAUAGCGUUGACAAUAAUUUGAAAUAAGGGCCUAUCUAUAACUGUUGCUGAGACAAUCUUUAUCUCAAAAUUGGCUCCAAGUUAGAUCUAUAUUGGAGCAAUUCAUGCACAACAUUUCUUCGAGAGCCCAUACUCAAUUAAUAUGUGCAAGAUUGUGUAUGAUUCCAACUCCAAGCUAGAUACAUAGCGAUUCGUGAUCAUAUUCCAUUUGUUCACUUGGAAGUCUUGAGUUAUGAGCCCAUCUAAGAAUGAGCCCAAAAAGGCUUCGGGCCCUUGUGGUCUGGCCGUGUAGUUUGUUUAAAAUAUUAGUUUAUAUUGUGUUUAAUUCAGACUUUUGUAAUUUUUCAUAUUUCAAUAUAUGUUUUCUUUCUUAUUUAAGGAUGGGAGUGGAAGUCCCACUUCAUAGAUCCCACUCAUUUUUUUAGUAAGGAUUGGGAUUCUCACUUCUAUAGGGGCCACUCCCACAUCUUCUUUUCUUUAUGAAAUAUAAUAAAUUUUAUAUUUAUUAAAAUUAAAUAAAAUUAUAUUAUUUAAAAUUAAAUCAUUAUAUUUAUUUAUGUAAUAUUAUUAUAUUUAGUUAAAAAUAAUAAUUUAUGUAAUCUAAGUUAAAAUUACUUAAAAGUAAUAUUAUUAUAUUCAUAAAAAAUUAAUAAUAUUACAAUAUACCAACUUUAUUUGAAAAAUAAAAUUAUUAUAUUUAUUUAAUAUUGAUAACUAAUAAUAAUAAAUGGUUUACUCUAAGAAAAUAUUAAUUAUGUACUAUAUUAAUAAUAAUAAUAUUCUGUUUGUUUUGCUCUUAUAAUAAUCUUUAUUUAUGUAAUUAAAAUUAAAAUUAAUAAAAAAUUAUGAUUUACAUAAUUAAGAAUAUUAAUAAUUAUUGGUAAUUUAUAUAAUUAAAAUUAAUGAUAAAUUAAAUAGUUUAUUUUAUAAAUAUAUUUUUAUUCACUUUUAAUUAGAAACUACAAUCUUUUAAACAGGGUAAAAGUGUAAUUUAAAAUAAUUCACUCUCAAUCCAAGUUAGAGUAAACAUAUAAAUGAGAUUCUGACUCCUAUUCUACAUUAUUCUUCCAAUGUAAGUGAAUGACUCAUUUCCACUCCCACUCCAUACUCUCAAUCCUUGAAUUCCUAAACCACACCGUAAUUAAGUGGUUUUCAAACAGUUUUAUUCAAUUGUAACUUGAGUUCAAAUAUUGAUAAAAUUAGAAUUAAAAAUUUCUAAAAAAAUUAUUUGAAUUUUUUCCACCACUUUACUUUUUAAAUAAAUGAAAAAGAAAAAAUCUCAAAUAUACAAAUAAAAGCUUUUAGUAUGUGCGCCAAUGACGUUUUUAUUGUCAAUUAUUUUGAGUCAUUAGUAUUGUGUAAUUUUUAUGUUGAAUAUAGUUGUACAUAAUUUAUCUAACUUUAAUAGUAUUUUCUUGCCAACUUGCGUCUUAGCAGUUAGCCAAGUGGUGAACUGCUACUCUCCCAAGUCCUCUUAAAUUUUUCUCUCCUAAUUAAAAAUUAUGUAAAGAUAUGAAUUUUCUCAGUUGAUUUUGUAGGUAGAACAAAUAGCCUUCCAACAUUCGUGAGGUAGAAAUCUAGGUUGUGCUAUAAUGGAGUUAAUAUAGACAGUCUAUCAGUAGACUCUUAAUUGUAUAAUACAUAUUAGUAAGAGGAAAAGCAUAUCUACACUUCCAAGAUUUGGGAAAUGGUCACCGACACCUCUAAGUCUUCAUAAAAGGACACCAAUACCCCUUUUGAUUAUUAUACCAUUUACCUCUAUUAUCCUAAAAAAAUAGACUUUAAAAUUUUUAAUAAAUACAAAUAUUAUAUAAAUAAUGUAAUCUACAUAGUAGACUAAUAAUAUUAAAAUAUUUUAAUAUUUUAAUAGAUUUAAAUAUAUAAAUUAUUAUAUUUCUUUUAAUAAUAUGCUUUUAUUUAUUGUAGAGAUUUUAAAUAAUACGAAUGAAGUGGAAACCAAUCUUCACAAGGAAAUAAAAUUUAUCCUUCAGCCCUUCACAUGGAAGGAAAGAUUAACCUUUAUAAAGAAGGAAGAAAAAGCAACCUUUACACGGAAAGAAAGACUUAAAAGAUGAAAAAGGGAGAAAAAAGUUAUUAAUAGUAAAUAACACUAAUUAAUAAUUAGUAAUAGUGAUACUUAAUACAAUAAAAUUACAUGAAAUUAAAAUAAAAUUGAAUAGAAACAAACACAAUAUCAAUUAUCACAAUGCAAUUAGUAAGUGUCUGUAUAGUAUGACUUAUCUAAUGGUCAUAAGUAUUUAUGUAAUCCCAUAAGCUCCUAAUCAAAUUUUUUGUUAUGGUUUGAUUAUUUUUUUACUAGAACUUUUCAAUAUUAAAUAAGAUAUUUGGUCUCUACUAUCAAAAGCUCAAACUUUGAGCUUUUAGGAGUAAGGGUUAAAAAGAUUUUUUAAAAUGUUAAAAUAUUUAAAAUAUCAUUUACUUAUUUUACAAUCUUAUUUCAUUAUUUUCAUUACCUAACUUUAAAAAAUUUACAUAUUAAAGUAAUUUUAUAAUUUUUAAUAAAAGUUCACAUUAACAACCAAAAAAUUAAAAUUUUUGCCUAAAAUCUCUAUUUAUAAAAGCCCUACUAAUAAAAACAUAUUUAAAUAAACUCAAUUUUAAAAGCUACAACUUAAAUACAACUGGAAAUUUUUUUUCCAUUUUUAAUAUUUAAUUGUCGGGCUGAAGGAUCGGACUAAGACUUUCUUGAUAAACCCCUAGACCGAGCCCGAUCCGGCUCAAUUUCGAACACCUGAAGUCCUAAUCCGACUCGAAGCCUAAAAGUGGAGCCAAAGCCUGGCUAGGCGGGGCGCUCACCCUAGCGGCAACUCAACUCAAAGCCUUGGCUGGAUGGUCGUAGUUUUUGUGCGGUUCAGUUAACAGGCGUGGAUACAACGCUAGGCCGGGUAUGCGCAGAGUCUUAACCUACACCCACUACAUUUCUCCUCUGUCCUCUCUAUAAAUAGCUUUUCGUUUCCCUCUUCUUUCAAAAUCAUCACCGAAUCAACAAAGAACCUGUCGCUCUGUCACUCACUAACAAAAUAUCACGAAACGAUCAAUAAUUAGCAAGUUAUUAGCAAAUUAACUGAACUGCUUCAAGCAAUAAUGGCUACUUUCGGUGCUGCUGCCGUUGCCACCAAUCAAAACCCUAAUAAGUCCAUCGAG